AUACGGAGGGUGCAAGCGUUACUCGGAAUCACUGGGCGUAAAGCGCGCGCAGGCGGCUAUUUAAGUUGGAUGUGAAAGCCUACGGCUCAACCGUAGAACUGCAUCCAAAACUAUUUAGCUAGAGUGUGGGAGAGGAAGAUGGAAUUAGUUGUGUAGGGGUAAAAUCCGUAGAGAUAACUAGGAAUACCAAAAGCGAAGGCAAUCUUCUGGAACACUACUGACGCUGAGGCGCGAAAGCGUGGGGAGCAAACGGGAUUAGAAAACCUAGUAGUCC
rnacentral:rRNA from 1 species